CCAGUACUUGGAGUCUUUUAUUACUGUCAAUGAUUACAGACGAACCAGCUUAUUUAGAGGACGAAAAUCAUCCUGAUCAAGUUCCAUCACAGGAAAUGGUACGCAAGCCUCAAAAAAGUGCGUAGGUAACAUGAUGUUGAAAGAACGAGGAGAUUGGAAAAGAAAGAAGUAAAUUGAGAGCUAUACAGAUAAAUCUAAAAGUAAACAUAGAGGACAAUGAUGCAUUAGAGACUGGCAUAUCAUCUCAUACGGACAACACCGCAGGAGAGUUUUUUUAUAUUUGAACAAUUCAGCUUCGCUUCAAAGAAAGUUGGAUGCAUUGGAAAAAAAAUUUAAGCUCACCGUUUGGACUUACGGAAGAUAUUGAAAAUGCUAUAAAGUAGGGAUAUUAUACCGGAUUUGUAUAUA